rnacentral:rRNA from 1 species
GGGUUGUGAGGUUAAGCGACUAAGCGUACACGGUGGAUGCCCUGGCAGUCAGAGGCGAUGAAGGACGUGCUAAUCUGCGAUAAGCGUCGGUAAGGUGAUAUGAACCGUUAUAACCGGCGAUUUCCGAAUGGGGAAACCCAGUGUGUUUCGACACACUAUCAUUAACUGAAUCCAUAGGUUAAUGAGGCGAACCGGGGGAACUGAAACAUCUAAGUACCCCGAGGAAAAGAAAUCAACCGAGAUUCCCCCAGUAGCGGCGAGCGAACGGGGAGCAGCCCAGAGCCUGAAUCAGUGUGUGUGUUAGUGGAAGCGUCUGGAAAGGCGCGCGAUACAGGGUGACAGCCCCGUACACAAAAAUGCACAUACUGUGAGCUCGAUGAGUAGGGCGGGACACGUGGUAUCCUGUCUGAAUAUGGGGGGACCAUCCUCCAAGGCUAAAUACUCCUGACUGACCGAUAGUGAACCAGUACCGUGAGGGAAAGGCGAAAAGAACCCCGGCGAGGGAGUGAAAAGAACCUGAAACCGUGUACGUACAAGCAGUGGGAGCCUCUUAAUGGGGUGACUGCGUACCUUUGUAUAAUGGGUCAGCGACUUAUAUUCUGUAGCAAGGUUAACCGAAUAGGGGAGCCGAAGGAAACCGAGUCUUAACUGGGCGUUAAGUUGCAGGGUAUAGACCCGAAACCCGGUGAUCUAGCCAUGGGCAGGUUGAAGGUUGGGUAACACUAACUGGAGGACCGAACCGACUAAUGUUGAAAAAUUAGCGGAUGACUUGUGGCUGGGGUGAAAGGCCAAUCAAACCGGGAGAUAGCUGGUUCUCCCGAAAGCUAUUUAGGUAGCGCCUCGUGAAUUCAUCUCCGGGGUAGAGCACUGUUUCGGCAAGGGGGUCAUCCCGACUUACCAACCCGAUGCAAACUGCGAAUACCGGAGAAUGUUAUCACGGGAGACACACGGCGGGUGCUAACGUCCGUCGUGAAGAGGGAAACAACCCAGACCGCCAGCUAAGGUCCCAAAGUCAUGGUUAAGUGGGAAACGAUGUGGGAAGGCCCAGACAGCCAGGAUGUUGGCUUAGAAGCAGCCAUCAUUUAAAGAAAGCGUAAUAGCUCACUGGUCGAGUCGGCCUGCGCGGAAGAUGUAACGGGGCUAAACCAUGCACCGAAGCUGCGGCAGCGACACUAUGUGUUGUUGGGUAGGGGAGCGUUCUGUAAGCCUGUGAAGGUGUACUGUGAGGUAUGCUGGAGGUAUCAGAAGUGCGAAUGCUGACAUAAGUAACGAUAAAGCGGGUGAAAAGCCCGCUCGCCGGAAGACCAAGGGUUCCUGUCCAACGUUAAUCGGGGCAGGGUGAGUCGACCCCUAAGGCGAGGCCGAAAGGCGUAGUCGAUGGGAAACAGGUUAAUAUUCCUGUACUUGGUGUUACUGCGAAGGGGGGACGGAGAAGGCUAUGUUGGCCGGGCGACGGUUGUCCCGGUUUAAGCGUGUAGGCUGGUUUUCCAGGCAAAUCCGGAAAAUCAAGGCUGAGGCGUGAUGACGAGGCACUACGGUGCUGAAGCAACAAAUGCCCUGCUUCCAGGAAAAGCCUCUAAGCAUCAGGUAACAUCAAAUCGUACCCCAAACCGACACAGGUGGUCAGGUAGAGAAUACCAAGGCGCUUGAGAGAACUCGGGUGAAGGAACUAGGCAAAAUGGUGCCGUAACUUCGGGAGAAGGCACACUGAUAUGUAGGUGAAGUCCCUUGCGGAUGGAGCUGAAAUCAGUCGAAGAUACCAGCUGGCUGCAACUGUUUAUUAAAAACACAGCACUGUGCAAACACGAAAGUGGACGUAUACGGUGUGACGCCUGCCCGGUGCCGGAAGGUUAAUUGAUGGGGUUAGCGGUAACGCGAAGCUCUUGAUCGAAGCCCCGGUAAACGGCGGCCGUAACUAUAACGGUCCUAAGGUAGCGAAAUUCCUUGUCGGGUAAGUUCCGACCUGCACGAAUGGCGUAAUGAUGGCGAGGCUGUCUCCACCCGAGACUCAGUGAAAUUGAACUCGCUGUGAAGAUGCAGUGUACCCGCGGCAAGACGGAAAGACCCCGUGAACCUUUACUAUAGCUUGACACUGAACAUUGAGCCUUGAUGUGUAGGAUAGGUGGGAGGCUUUGAAGUGUGGACGCCAGUCUGCAUGGAGCCGGCCUUGAAAUACCACCCUUUAAUGUUUGAUGUUCUAACGUUGGCCCCUGAUCGGGGUUGCGGACAGUGUCUGGUGGGUAGUUUGACUGGGGCGGUCUCCUCCUAAAGAGUAACGGAGGAGCACGAAGGUUGGCUAAUCCUGGUCGGACAUCAGGAGGUUAGUGCAAUGGCAUAAGCCAGCUUGACUGCGAGCGUGACGGCGCGAGCAGGUGCGAAAGCAGGUCAUAGUGAUCCGGUGGUUCUGAAUGGAAGGGCCAUCGCUCAACGGAUAAAAGGUACUCCGGGGAUAACAGGCUGAUACCGCCCAAGAGUUCAUAUCGACGGCGGUGUUUGGCACCUCGAUGUCGGCUCAUCACAUCACGGGCUGAAGUAGGUCCCAAGGGUAUGGCUGUUCGCCAUUUAAAGUGGUACGCGAGCUGGGUUUAGAACGUCGUGAGACAGUUCGGUCCCUAUCUGCCGUGGGCGCUGGAGAACUGAGGGGGGCUGCUCCUAGUACGAGAGGACCGGAGUGGACGCAUCACUGGUGUUCGGGUUGUCAUGCCAAUGGCACUGCCCGGUAGCUAAAUGCGGAAGAGAUAAGUGCUGAAAGCAUCUAAGCACGAAACUUGCCCCGAGAUGAGUUCUCCCUGACUCCUUGAGAGUCCUGAAGGAACGUUGAAGACGACGACGUUGAUAGGCCGGGUGUGUAAGCGCAGCGAUGCGUUGAGCUAACCGGUACUAAUGAACCGUGAGGCUUAACCUUACAACGCCGAAGGUGUUU